rnacentral:rRNA from 1 species
AUUGAACGCUGGCGUCAGGCCUAACACAUGCAAGUCGAACGAGUGGCGGACGGGUGAGUAAUGUCUGGGAAACUGCCCGAUGGAGGGGGAUAACUACUGGAAACGGUAGCUACUACCGACUACAAUCCGCCGUGCCCAGAUGGGAUUAGCUAGUAGGUGGGGUAAGGGCUCCCCUUGGCGCCGAUCCCUAGCUGGUCUGAGAGGCUGACCAGCCACACUGGAACUGAGACACGGUCCAGACUCCUACGGGAGGCAGCAGUGGGGAAUAUUGCACAAUGGGCGCAAGCCUGAUGCAGCCAUGCCGCGUGUAUGAAGAAGGCCUUCGGGUUGUAAAGUACUUUCAGCGAGGAGGCGUUACUCGCAGAAGAAGCACCGGCUAACUCCGUGCCAGCAGCCGCGGUAAUUC